GUCCUCACUUUGGCAGCACAUAUACUAAAACUGGAACAAUACAGAGAAGAUUGGCAUGGCCCCUGUGCAAGGAUGCCAUGAAAAAAGAAAAAAAAAAAAGAAUGAGAU